rnacentral:misc_RNA from 1 species
ACGACAAGUCAAAGUACGAUAUUCUCCCUUGACCGGUACGAUAACUUGGGGCCGGUGGGAGGAGAGGCGUUGGGGAGCGGUUCAUUAGUGUAAACAAACCGAGGUGACGCCGGCCAUCUGUACCCUCUCUUGACACAAUGGUCUUAAGUGCAUUAAAGAACCUCUACACCACCACAUUUAGCCAAGCCAGUUCCCCUGAGUCGGCUAUACUGGCUGUUGGAAAUAAUGAUGGAAAAAUUGCUGUUUUUGAUUUAUCAGGUGUUAAUGCUAGUCGAGAAACAAGUGUUGGUGAACGGCUGGGAGGACCAUGCAGGAUAAUUAAUGCUCAUAGUGAUGCAGUAUACUCCAUGGUGUCUACAGAUGCUUUCUGCAUUUCAGGAACCACAGGUUUAGUGACAGGUCGUCGAUGGGAUGAAUUGCAGCAGCAACAGUCCCAGGCAGCAUGGACAAUAUCUUUGGAGUGUGAUCAAGCCAAUUUUGGGACCCCUGAGGUAAACAGUCUAGCAUAUGAUCCUGGAAGGGGUCUUGUAUAUGCAGCCUGUGGUGAUUGGCGCACUCAUGUGUUUGAUCUAGAAACUGGUAAAUGUACACAGACACUGGAAGGACAUGAUGACUAUGUACAUGAUGUGGUUACAAGUGGUAACUUGGUUGCCAGUAGUGGUGAGGAUGGUCAGGUGCUGGUGUGGGAUCCUCGGGCAGGAAGGGAGCCUCGACACAAAUUGGCACCCCACACCCAUGAUCAGCUAGCUAGACCACAUCUUGGCAGAUUCAUAUCAUCUCUUGAUCUCUACAAUGACUGGCUGGUAUGUGGAGGAGGACCACGAGUGGGAAUAUUUCAUUUGAGAUCCCUGGCUUUAACAACAGUUUUGCCCUCUGCCAAGUCAGCCAUCCAUGCCACUAAAUUCACAAGACAUGCAGAAGGUGGUGAUCGAGGUGGAAUAGUGAUAGCAGGUGUAUUACCUCACCUGUGUGUGUGCAGCAUGGCUGGAGUAGUGACAGCUCAGCUUCCAUCUUCUUCUCCAUGUAUAUACACAGUUAAUGUGACUGACAAGCCUUUCACGGGAAAGUAAGCGCGGGCUGUGUGGCCUGACCUUGAGGAUGAGAAGAGCGACGUCGUGGUAGAGAGUUUGGAGGACGAAGCCCGGGUGAAGCACUAUGUCGUCCACGGCCACGUCCUGGUGACGAUGGGUCAGUGGACACUCACCCCUUCACCUUGUGAGCGGCGGUGACCACCACACGUGGAUGAAUCAGAGUGCCGCCACCCACGAACCUCCUGAGCUUCAGACCGGAAAGGCUCUCCACUCUCAAGACAGCUGCCACCCACGGGAACUCCCCAAACUGACUCUCUCCUUCUUGGAAUCCCAAGAUGCGUGCCUGCAAGAUACAAAAAACCUUAUUCAUGUAGUUACAAGAAUACAGAGAGCUAUUUCUGAUGAUAGGCUAACAGAUAUAAUCAAUAAAACUUACCUAACUAAAAGUAUAAUCAAUAUUCAUUAGAUUAGGUGAGGUGGGUUUUGUUAAGACUGGCUUGAUGAUUUCACUCUGGAUGUCAUUGAUAGUUCAGGCCAGCACCUUCCUGAUGGAUCCUUGUUUACAAGAAUCAUUUUCCAAAUCGUAGAACCAGACUUGGCCGAAUAAAUUUCAGAAAUAAUUUUCCUGUAAUCUGACAGACUAAUUAAAUUGAUAGUUUAGCCACAGAAGCAUCCCUUAAUUCUAUCAUAGGUUCAGUUCCAUCGGCAGUGUGGAAUAUUGGGCAAGUUUUUUCACGCCAUAUGUCUUAGGCCACAGUAAGUAAAACAAAAUUGUCUUAAAUUCUGUGAUCAUUGCUAAUACUGUACUGUAAUACUGUGUUCAGUUAGUAAGUAAAAUUUAAUUUGUAUAUAAUGAGGCAACUGCCAACUGACUCCUGGGUGGCCACUGGCCUGGUGGAUGACGAUUUAGUCUUUAGUAAGCCGGUCAGUGGGUUAGAAUGUCUUGGGUUCCUCUGCUUUAUCUCAAUUUAAUGAUUUAAUACGAUGCUGCGUAAAGAUUAUUAGCAGACAAGAUAUACUGUAUGCAUCUGUGCAUAUAACUGGAACCUCACUGCUGAGCUGCUAUUAAAGUUUAGUGAAAUAAAUUCACUGUAUUA